rnacentral:rRNA from 1 species
AUUGAACGCUGGCGGCAUGCCUUACACAUGCAAGUCGAACGGCAGCAUGGAGAGCUUGCUCUCUGAUGGCGAGUGGCGAACGGGUGAGUAAAGCAUCGGAACGUACCGUGUAGUGGGGGAUAACGUAGCGAAAGUUACGCUAAUACCGCAUACUCACCGAGGUGGAAAGCAGGGGAUCGUAAGACCCUGCGCUAUACGAGCGGCCGAUGUCAGAUUAGCUAGCUGGUAGGGUAAAGGCCUACCAAGGCGACGAUCGGUAGCGGGUCUGAGAGGAUGAUCCGCCACACUGGGACUGAGACACGGCCCAGACUCCUACGGGAGGCAGCAGUGGGGAAUUUUGGACAAUGGGGGCAACCCUGAUCCAGCCAUGCCGCGUGAGUGAAGAAGGCCUUCGGGUUGUAAAGCUCUUUCGGCCGGGAAGAAAUCGCACAGGCUAAUACCCUGUGUGGAUGACGGUACCGGCAUAAGAAGCACCGGCUAACUACGUGCCAGCCGCCGCAGUAA